rnacentral:lncRNA from 1 species
CGGAUGGUCGUCUAAUCUGCCACAAUCUCACCAUGCCAGCUUGAAAUCAUUCGGAUCAGGUAAUAACACUCACAAACCUUGUCAUAUGAAAUUGCCCCCCUUUUUCCAAGAAUUUAAAAGUUCCCAAACUUUAAGGUCUUCGAAAUCAAUUUAAGAAAAUAACAAUAUGCAUACAGUUCUUUUCCUGACAUGAAUAUAGUUUUGUGCUACCUCUUACUACUUUUUUUAUAAAGACCUCUUACUAUUUUUUGCUUUUGCUAAAGGUUCCAUCUAUCCAGUGAACCCCCAAUUGAUGUAUCCAGUGUCAACGGUGAACUCUGCAGCCCAUGGCGAACAAUGCUUAUCACUAUCGUUGUUGCCAAUGUGGCCGGAAUCCUCAUAGCCCCCGGCUUAUUCUUCAACAGGCAUGGUUCAAUUUAGUUUCAAUAAUACCUUUAUAACUGUUACAGACCCACAAGGUAUGCAGCGGGCAAAAAUUAUGGUAAAGGGCUGGUGGUGGAAGAGAUGUUUUUGUUCUUGUUUCUGGAAGUUCUGGGGUGUUGAGGACUGUAGGAAGUUUACAUGAACUUUUUUUAGCAGUUUUGGUGUGAAGUGCGCUGAAACGAAUUUCAGUGCAUUCCUACUGUUUGGUAGUACUUCUUUUAUUUCGGUUAGUGUGUCAGUUUUUAGUAUAUUUUCAGUUCGCUGUGUUUAUAUUUCAGUUCCUCGGAAUGGGCACCAUAAGUGUUUGUUUUAGUCUUUCAGCUAUUAGUCUCAGUUUUUUAGUAGAUUCGGUUUUAGCUGUUUUGGUAGAUCAUUUUCUUAGCUUUAUUGUUGAUUCAUUUUUAGUUCUUUUAGUAUAUCAUUUUCUCAGCUCUAAUGUAUUUGUUUGAAUCAUCAUUUAGUUUUCAGUUUUUAGUCACCAGUAUUCCUAAGGAUCAGUACCUUAAGUGUUUCAUUUGACGAAAAAGGGUUUCCCCCGCUUUGUAUUACAAAGCAACCACCGAUACAUCCAACGAUAGGUGCUGGGGCCGCAGCACAGAUAAGCCCAAAGAAAAACAAAGAAGAAAGGAAGAGAAACAAAUGCCAACAACGGCAGAUCGAC